rnacentral:rRNA from 1 species
UACGUAGGGGGCUAGCGUUGUCCGGAAUCAUUGGGCGUAAAGCGCGUGUAGGCGGCCCGGUAAGUCCGCUGUGAAAGUCGGGGGCUCAACCCACGGAUGCCGGUGGAUACUGUCGGGCUCGAGUACGGAAGAGGCGAGUGGAAUUCCUGGUGUAGCGGUGAAAUGCGCAGAUAUCAGGAGGAACACCAAUUGCGAAGGCAGCUCGCUGGGACGUUACUGACGCUGAGACGCGAAAACGUGGGGAGCAAACAGG